GUCUAUGGUCAUACCACCCUGAACGCACCCCAUCUCGUCUGAUCUCGGAAGCUAAGCAGGGUCGGGCCUGGUUAGUAUUUGGAUGGGAGACUGUCUGGGAAUCCUGGGUGCUGUAGGCU
ensembl:rRNA 5S_rRNA 5S ribosomal RNA